rnacentral:rRNA from 1 species
AUGCCUCAUACAUGCAAGUCGAACGAGGUCUUCGGACCUAGUGGCGCACGGGUGAGUAACAUGUGGGAAUCUACCUGAAGGUUCGGAAUAACUGCGGGAAACUGUAGCUAAUACCGGAUGUGUCUGCAAAGAGAAAGAUUUAUCGCCUUCAGAUGAGCCCGCACUAGAUUAGCUAGUUGGUGAGGUAAUUGCUCCACCAAGGCUACGAUCUAUAGCUGAUUUGAGAGGAUGAUCAGCCACACUGGGACUGAGACACGGCCCAGACUCCUACGGGAGGCAGCAGUAGGGAAUAUUGGACAAUGGGGGAAACCCUGAUCCAGCAAUGCCGCGUGAGUGAAGAAGGCCCUCGGGUUGUAAAACUCUUUCAUCAAUGAUGAUAAUGACAUUAGUUGAAGAAGAAGCUCCGGCUAACUUCGUGCCAGCAGCCGCGGUAAUACGAAGGGGGCUAGCGUUGUUCGGAAUCACUGGGCGUAAAGCGUAUGUAGGCGGAUCAAAAAGUUAGAUGUGAAAUCCCUGGGCUCAACCCAGGAACUGCAUUUAAAACUAGUGAUCUAGAAUUUGGUAAAGGUUAGUAGAAUUUCCAGUGUAGAGGUGAAAUUCGUAGAUAUUGGAAAGAAUACCAGAAGCGAAGGCGACUAACUAGGCCAUUUUUGACGCUGAGAUACGAAAGCGUGGGUAGCAAACAGGAUUAGAUACCCUGGUAGUCCACGCAGUAAACGAUGAGUGCUAGUCGCUGGGACAUUAGUUUCAGUGUCGAAGCUAACGCAUUAAGCACUCCGCCUGGGAAGUACGGUCG